GACCCUUUCAUCUAGUGGUCAAGGAUAUUACGUUUUCAACGUAAAAACAGAGGUUCAAAUCCUUUAAGGGUCGCCA
rnacentral:tRNA from 1 species